GAUAAUCGGAAUGCUCUGACAACAAAUCUUCCUGAAAGUGGGAUGCAUGACCUAAGAAAACUUGCAUUCAAUUCAUGGGUGGUACAUGGCACUUCUUGCUCCCAUUGACUCCAGUCAACUCUUAAAAAGGUCAAAAAUGCCUGAGCUUUGCAGAGAUAUCUAACCAUGCCCAGGCAUAAAGCUACAUCCCAAACCAACAUCUUUGGCCAUGGACCUGGGGCAGUAGCAAUCUUGUUUCCUUUGCAGAACAGUCAUUUAAUUCCACGGCCACUGUUUAGAUAGCAUUUAGACACUUCACGAGUAUGCAUCUCACUGGCCUCCUCUGCCAGUGAAUGUCCCCUUUGUAAUAAUACCUGACAUAUUAUAAUCCUUAUUUCUUACUACACAUACUACAAACUGUUCUGAUUUUGCUUGCAAUCCAGUAUUUUAUUUUCUACAUUUCAUUAUCUUACAGGGAGAAAA